AUAGAGACUCAGAGCUGCAUAUCAAUAAGCGGAGGAAAAGAAACUAACAAGGAUUCCCUAGUAACGGCGAGUGAAGCGGGAAGAGCUCAAAUUUGAAAUCUUAAAGGUUUCCCUUGACGAAUUGUAGUUUAUAGAAGUGUUUUCUGUUAGUGGAGUUUGGUAAAAGUUCUUUGGAAUAGGACAUCAUAGAGGGUGAGAAUCCCGUAUUUGGACCGUUACUUUCAGCGUUGUGAUACACUUUCAAAGAGUCGGAUUGUUUGGGAAUGCAGUCCAAAAUGGGUGGUAAAUUUCAUCUAAAGCUGAAUAUUGGCGAGAGACCGAUAGCGAACAAGUACCGUGAGGGAAAGAUGAAAAGAACUUUGAAAGGAGAGUUAAACAGUACGUGAAAUUGUCAAAAGGGAAGCGUUUGACACCAGUGUUGUUUUCUCGAAAAUCAAUUAAAAUGAAUGGAUUUAUGUAAGUUGUAUUGACUUUAUCAGCUUACUGCACUUUAGUUCUUGAGCUUUUUUAAAUGCACUUUUCAGUUAACAAGUCAACAUCAAUUUCUUUUGUUGUAAAAGAGUCAUUGAGGAAGGUGGCUUGAUUUCUUCGAAAAGUGUUUAUAGCCUUUGCUUCUGCAGUCGGAGAGAUUGAGGUCUGCAGCGUAGAUCCUUCGGGGUUAGAUACAGUUUGUGCUAAGCUAUAGUUCUUUAUAGACAACUUGUUGACUAUAAUCAAUCCUGUAACUUACUCGCUUAUGCUAUUUUACCUACGCUUAGGAUGUUGAACGCGCACAGAGUCUC
rnacentral:rRNA from 1 species